ACGAUUGCAUCUUUGUGUCGUAUGUCGCAAUAGUCUGACUGAAGGUCUGCACCGAAAUUUGCCACUUCAGUUUCCAGGCAGUGAGGUUGCAGUGUCGCAUUUAAACGUGAAAUUUUAAAAUUUUUGUUUUGAAACUGAUUUAAUUUUAAUUCGAUUUUCGUUAUCAAUUUUAGAGAAAAAAAAAGUCAACUUCUAACUUUAAAAAAAUUUAAAUUAAAACUCGUUUAAUAUUCCCAAUCCAUUGGUAGCAAUUGAUAAUUUGCUUUCCGAGUUUUCGUUAUCUGAUAGAACAAGUGGUGCCGCGACAUCUCUGAUUGGAACGGGUAAAAUUCGUACGCCACUCGAAGAAGUAACAGAUUGAGCGCGCGCUUCUAGUGGAUUAACGAGCAAACCGGAGGAUGACACUGCGCGACCGGAAGUACUCGGUCUCGCAGUCGGGCCGUUACAAGUCCCGGCCGAAAAUUAGACCGGCGCUGAAGGAGGAUCUAUUCAAUUCGGAUGAUCUGGGUGUCUCAAAGGAGAAUUCUAAACCGGAUCAACAACCUGUUCAAGAAUCUACGGCAACAAACGGGAACAACGUAGGCUCCACUAAUGGCAAAAAACUCAACUCGCAGAGGAUAGUUUUUGAAACAGCACUAUGAAGCUGGCUAAACAAUUUGAGGAAGGAGAACUUAAUCGUUAUCGUUACUCGUGAAGUUGGAGGUAGCAACUUUGUGUCAUCAUUAUUUUUAUCUGUGAUAGGACUUUUUAUAAUAUAUUUUAAGUUUUACCUUUAACUUGUAAAUUACAUGGUUGUGGUUCAGUUUUAAAAUUUCAGUGAUUGGAGGUUGUUAUAGAGAUUAAGAAUAAAAUUCAUCCAGUUUUGCUUCCACAAAUUCAAGCCGAUCAUGAAUAUAAGUACAUCAAUAAAGCUUGCGGGCGUCAAUUCACAGAUAAGGCUUACUUAAACACUGCACUUCAGUGGAAUCGUCAUAAAAUAAAA